ACUCCUACGGGAGGCUGCAGCAGGGAAUAUUGUGCAAUGAACGAAAGUUUGACACAGCGACACCGCGUGUGGGAUGACGGAUCUAGGUUUGUAAACCACUUUCAGGAGGGAAGAAAAUGACGGUACCUCCACAAGAAGCCCCGGCCAACUACGUGCCAGCAGCCGCGGUAAUACGUAGGGGGCGAGCGUUGUCCGGAUUUAUUGGGCGUAAAGAGCUCGUAGGCGGUUCAACAAGUCGGUCGUGAAAGUUCAGGGCUCAACCCUGAAAUGUCGAUCGAUACUGUUGUGACUAGGAUACGGUAGAGGUGAGUGGAAUUCCGAGUGUAGCGGUGAAAUGCGUAGAUAUUCGGAGGAACACCAAUUGCGAAGGCAGCUCACUGGACCGCUAUCGACGCUGAGGAGCGAAAGCUAGGGGAGCAAACAGGAUUAGAUACCCUGGUAGUCCUAGCUGUAAACGAUGGAUACUAGACGUAGGAACUGGAUUGACGGUUUCUGUGUCGUAGCUAACGCGUUAAGUAUCCCGCCUGGGGAGUACGGUCGCAAGACUAAAACUCAAAGGAAUUGACGGGACCCCGCACAAGCGGCGGAGCAUGCGGCUUAAUUCGAUGAUACCCGUAGAACCUUACCUGGACUUGACAUAUAGGGUCAAGCUAUAGAGAUAUAGUGUGCAUUAGCGCCCUAUACAGGUGGUGCAUGGCUGUCGUCAGCUCGUGUCGUGAGAUGUUGGGGUUAAGUCCCGCAACGAGCGCAACCCCUGUCCUAUGUUGCCAGCAUUUAGUUGGGGACUCAUAGGAGACUGCCGGUGAUAAACCGGAGGAAGGUGGGGACGACGUCAAGUCAUCAUGCCCCUUAUGUCCAGGGCUGCACGCAUGCUACAAUGGCAAGUACAACGAGUCGCAAUACCGCGAGGUGGAGCAAAUCUCUUAAAGCUUGUCUCAGUUCGGAUAGGAGUCUGCAACUCGACUCCUUGAAGUUGGAGUCGCUAGUAAUCGCAAAUCAGCAAAGUUGCGGUGAAUACGUUCUCGGGGUUUGU
rnacentral:rRNA from 1 species